GGAGCGGUAGUUCAGUUGGUUAGAAUACCGGCCUGUCACGCCGGGGGUCGCGAGUUCGAGUCUCGUACCGUUCCGCCA
rnacentral:tRNA from 1 species